rnacentral:rRNA from 1 species
AGAGUUUGAUCAUGGCUCAGAACGAACGCUGGCGGCAGGCUUAACACAUGCAAGUCGAACGCACCUUCGGGUGAGUGGCAGACGGGUGAGUAACGCGUGGGAACGUGCCCUUCAGUUCGGAAUAACCCAGGGAAACUUGGGCUAAUACCGGAUACGUGCGAGAGCAGAAAGAUUUAUCGCUGAAGGAUCGGCCCGCGUCUGAUUAGCUAGUUGGUGGGGUAAUGGCCCACCAAGGCGACGAUCAGUAGCUGGUCUGAGAGGAUGAUCAGCCACAUUGGGACUGAGGCACGGCCCAAACUCCUACGGGAGGCAGCAGUGGGGAAUAUUGGACAAUGGGCGCAAGCCUGAUCCAGCCAUGCCGCGUGAGUGAUGAAGGCCUUAGGGUUGUAAAGCUCUUUCGGCGGGGACGAUAAUGACGGUACCCGCAGAAGAAGCCCCGGCUAACUUCGUGCCAGCAGCCGCGGUAAUACGAAGGGGGCUAGCGUUGUUCGGAAUCACUGGGCGUAAAGGGCGCGUAGGCGGCUUGAUAAGUCGGGGGUGAAAGCCUGUGGCUCAACCACAGAAUUGCCUUCGAUACUGUCUGGCUUGAGACCGGAAGAGGUAAGUGGAACUGCGAGUGUAGAGGUGAAAUUCGUAGAUAUUCGCAAGAACACCAGUGGCGAAGGCGGCUUACUGGUCCGGUUCUGACGCUGAGGCGCGAAAGCGUGGGGAGCAAACAGGAUUAGAUACCCUAGUAGUCC